GUGUCAGCCGCCGCGGUAAUACGGAGGGGGUUAGCGUUGUUCGGAAUUACUGGGCGUAAAGCGUACGUAGGCGGAUUAAUAAGUUAGAGGUGAAAUCCCAGGGCUCAACCCUGGAACUGCCUUUAAAACUGUUAGUCUUGAGAUCGAGAGAGGUGAGUGGAAUUCCAAGUGUAGAGGUGAAAUUCGUAGAUAUUUGGAGGAACACCAGUGGCGAAGGCGGCUCACUGGCUCGAUACUGACGCUGAGGUACGAAAGUGUGGGGAGCAAACAGGAUUAGAUACCCUGGUAGUCCACACCGUAAACGAUGAAUGCCAGACGUCAGCAAGCAUGCUUGUUGGUGUCACACCUAACGGAUUAAGCAUUCCGCCUGGGGAGUACGGUCGCAAGAUUAAAACUCAAAGAAAUUGACGG
rnacentral:rRNA from 1 species